ensembl:misc_RNA 7SK 7SK RNA
GGAUGUGAGGGCGAUCUGGCUGCGACAUCUGUCACCCCAUUGAUCGCCAGGGUUGAUUCGGCUGAUCUGGCUGGCUAGGCGGGUGUCCCCCUCCUCCCUCACCGAUCCAUGUGCGUCCCUCCCGAAGCUGCGCGCUCGGUCGAAGAGGACGACCUUCCCCCCCGAGGAGAGGACCGGUCUUCGGUCAAGGGUAUACGAGUAGCUGCGCUCCCCUGCUAGAACCUCCAAACAAGAACUGUACUGUAUCAUAAUAUAGAUUUUUAAAAAAUCCUUUUUCCCCCUUCAGUUAAGAGUGAUGGUGAUUAUUUUCUUAACACU